rnacentral:rRNA from 1 species
CCUACGGGUGGCAGCAGUGAGGAAUAUUGGUCAAUGGACGAGAGUCUGAACCAGCCAAGUAGCGUGAAGGAUGACUGCCCUAUGGGUUGUAAACUUCUUUUAUAUGGGAAUAAAAUGUUCCACGUGUGGGAUUUUGUAUGUACCAUAUGAAUAAGGAUCGGCUAACUCCGUGCCAGCAGCCGCGGUAAUACGGAGGAUCCGAGCGUUAUCCGGAUUUAUUGGGUUUAAAGGGCGCGUAGGUGGAUUGUUAAGUCAGUUGUGAAAGUUUGCGGCUCAACCGUAAAAUUGCAGGUGAAACUGGCAGUCUUGAGUACAGUAGAGGUGGGCGGAAUUCGUGGUGUAGCGGUGAAAUGCUUAGAGAUCGGGAGGAACACCAGUGGCGAAGGCGGCCUACUGGGCUUUAACUGACGCUGAGGCACGAAAGCGUGGGUAGCAAACAGGAUUAGAUACCCGUGUAGUC